CAGCAGCCGCGGUAAAACAGAGGAUGCAAGCGUUAUCCGGAAUGAUUGGGCGUAAAGCGUCUGUAGGUGGCUUUUCAAGUCCGCCGUCAAAUCCCAGGGCUCAACCCUGGACAGGCGGUGGAAACUACCAAGCUGGAGUACGGUAGGGGCAGAGGGAAUUUCCAGUGGAGCGGUGAAAUGCGUUGAGAUCGGAAAGAACACCAACAGCGAAAGCACUCUGCUGGGCCGACACUAACGCUGAGAGACGAAAGCUAGGGGAGCAAAUGGGAUUAGAUACCCCCGUAGUCCCUGUCUCUUAUAC
rnacentral:rRNA from 1 species